rnacentral:rRNA from 1 species
UCGCACGAACCUUUCGGGGUUAGUGGCGGACGGGUGAGUAACGCGUAGGGAUCUAUCCAUGGGUGGGGGAUAACUUUGGGAAACUGAAGCUAAUACCGCAUGACACCUGAGGGUCAAAGGCGCAAGUCGCCUGUGGAGGAACCUGCGUUCGAUUAGCUAGUUGGUGGGGUAAAGGCCUACCAAGGCGAUGAUCGAUAGCUGGUCUGAGAGGAUGAUCAGCCACACUGGGACUGACACACGGCCCACACUCCUACGGGAGGCAGCAGUGGGGAAUAUUGGACAAUGGGCGCAAGCCUGAUCCAGCAAUGCCGCGUGUGUGAAGAAGGUUUUCGGAUUGUAAAGCACUUUCAGCGGGGACGAUGAUGACGGUACCCGCAAAAGAACCCCCGGCUAACUUCGUGCCAGCAGCCGCGGUAAUACGAAGGGGGCAAGCGUUGCUCGGAAUGACUGGGCGUAAAGGGCGCGUAGGCGGUUGACACAGUCAGAUGUGAAAUUCCCGGGCUUAACCUGGGGGCUGCAUUUGAUACGUGGCGACUAGAGUGUGAGAGAGGGUUGUGGAAUUCCCAGUGUAGAGGUG